GAGCUUUAGAAAAUUUCCGCGAAAAACUAGUGCGUGUAAGUGUGUAGCGUAAUUUCAUGAAUUGUGAAAUGUAAAGUGUUUAUAAAACUAUACAUUUAUACUUGUGCACUAGUUUGCAAUUGUGCGUAAACAAAUUGGCCAAAAAUAUGUGUCAAUUCAAGUAAAGCAAUCUCUCUCGGCUAAGAUGUGUCUGCUGUCGUGUGUGUGAAGAGUCCGCGGCCACCAUAUCUUGACAAUGUUGUCGCAUGCAACGCGUUGCUGCAAAUUGUCACCGUGACUGUCACAACAAGAAAUGUCGGAAUUGAAAAUGCGAAAGAAAAAAACGCCUCAUAUCGCACGGCACACUAGUUGUUGCUUUUCCUUUGCUGUGCUGUGCUAUGCUGUGGCUGCUGCUGUGAAAAGUGCCAAUGUUGUUAUUGUUAUGGCUGCUAAUGUUGAUGUUAAUGUUGUUGCUGUUGCCAGCGCAUCGCUGUCGUCGUCUCGUUGGGUUGAUUGAGUGAUGCUUGCCAAGUGGAUGGCCAACCUCAUGCAUUAGAUCACUUGCUUGCUAUCUGCACUUUGGUUCAACUUGAAUGAAGCUACAGUGGGAACACACAUAGGUAAAUACUCUCUAUUCAAUUUGAGCUGUCGAGUGCUCUGUGUCCAUUCAGCUGUGUGGCAACUACCAUAAAUGAAUAAAAUGUCGUGUCUGGCCUCAGCUUCGGCCGGCUUUAAUUGAGUUCCACUGUGCGGGGCAACACAGUUCAGGUUGUGCACAGCUACUAAGAGAGGCAGAGAUGCAGAGAGGAGCAGAGAGAACCCGGCAGCAGCGACAGCAGCAUCGUCCACAGGCGAAAGACUGGCGACGUUGACGGUGACGCUGAAGCUUGUCACUUGUCAGUUGUUUGUCAUCUGACAUACAUAUGUCAGUGAUAUAUCAUCGAGCAAAUGGCCAAGCCAAGGCAUCGGAUAAACGAGAGAACGAAACGAGGCAGGAGGCAAAAGGCAGAAGGCAGGCAGCAUCAUGGAUCAAGUGCCACUUCCGCUCGAGUUGUGUCGCCAACAUUUGGAAUCGAAGCGAUGCCAAAGCUUCAAAAUCGAUACAGUUUUUGGAAUUAGAUGUAAACACGUGCCUCGCCCAUUCGUCUCCCAAACACACACACCAAACACACGCUGUCUAUCUGUUCGUUGGCACUUAUGACGUCCAUUGAAUGACGACGAAUGCAAAAAACGUCACGUAAUUUUGAUUGACGAAACACAAGCGAAACAAAAGCAAAACUCCAAAACUAAGUUUUCCUGCCACUGACAAAUCGCCGUGGCGAGCGCAAAAACUUUUUGCCACACAGAGCACAGCACACAGGACGAUGAAGGAUUCGCAUUCAUUUGGUACGUGCGCAGGACGCGCAUUUGUGUGUGAUAUAUUUCGGGAACACUUCGAUGCUGACGUUACGGGAGAGUUUUGAUUCGAGUUCCCAGCGACUAGUUUUUUAUUUUUCUACUUCUUCUUCUGCGGAAAUUGAAAUUGGCUGGCACAAAGUGAAGGCGGAUCGAUUGCACCGAGGCGCUGAGCUGAUCAAAGUCAACGGCUUCAAACUCGAAACACACACACACACACACAGAGGAAAGAUACAAAGAUACAGAUACUCUGCGAGCUUGCGAGUUCUUUCUAUCAAGGAAUCAAUUGAGUUCGUCCAUCAAAAACUGUAAGAUCUCAGGACCCAAAAGGAUAUCUGUAAAAAACAAGAAAAGGAUUAAAAAUAAGCUUAUAUCAUAAAUAUAGUUCUUACUAAAGCUUUGUGUUCUAAAUAUUUAUAAAACCUUAAUUUGAAUGUAAAUGAAAUCUUUAAUUGAAAUAUUUUUAAAAUCC